CUAUGAAAAGUUGAAAACCACGAGAUUCGCCCUCCGCUCAGAAAAAGGGGGAAAAAAAACUCUCCCAAAAUGGAGGUGCUCCCUCUCGUCCUGCCUCUCUAUCCAUCAUCGGUAACACCCAAAAAUCCAAAAUCACCUACCCAUGUAAUCGUCGGAUCUUCCACUCUCUAAUUUUCGAUGGCGUUUCCUUACCCAAGCCUCACGCUCUUUCUCUACCCUCUCCCUCGCCCUCUCUGCCUUCUCUCCCGUCGACAACUACGUCUUCGACAGCGGCUCCACCUUCGAUGAUGGCCGCCGUUUCGUUUCGGACUCGUUCACUUCAGCUCGCUCAAUUUCACUCAGAAACAAAAACCCCAAUCCCAAUUCCCCCUAAAUUUACCAAACCGCUAAGGUUUUCCGGCGGCCGUCCUAGUAUGAGUUCCAGAUCCGCGACCAGGGGAUCCAUAUGGGAGCUGGUUGAAAUCGGAAGCAAGAGUUCAUGGCUGACCUUGAUGAUUAUGGACAGCCACAGAUUCAGGGGAGGUUUGCUGCAAUGGUUGUCUGUUGGCUUCUGGGAAAUGGGUGCCUUUUUCCUGGAACAGUGUGCUUACACUCCAAGAUUACUAUGUUGCCUUGUUCCCGGUGAUUUUGGGUUCGCAGCAUAGUGUACGUGGACAAUGCCAAAGCUCAACAUGGUUAUUCCCCAAGCAAUAUGCUGCAUUAGAUAUGGACUUGCUGUGGGUUCCAACUUUGUAUGGCUUGUCUGAAUUUUGAUGAUUAUUUGCUACCCAAUGGCUUAUUCAAUUGGAAAGAUAUUGAACUCUGUUCUGGAACAUAAUGAAGCAUUAUUUAGGCGAGCUCAGUUUAAAGCCCUCGUCUCCAUCCAAAGCAAAGAGAUUGCUUCAGAAGGACUCAAGCAGAGAGUAUUUGAGACAUCACUUGUUGAUCUUCAGGGAGAUGAGGGGCAUGCUUACAGAAAAAUGCGGUUGAGAUCGGCUCAGAUUAUCCCAAGAUUGUUUUUGCUUGCUAUGGAUUUCUCUUUGCUUGAAAGCAAAUUUUAUAUGAUGUACAAUAAAUAGAUUAAUGAAGUUUAUUUUACCAACAAAAAUAUAGCAACAUGAAAUAUAUAAAUUGUGAACUUUUGGAUU